CCCCUACGGGGCGCAGCAGUGGGGAAUAUUGCACAAUGGGGGAAACCCUGAUGCAGCGACGCCGCGUGAGUGAAGAAGUAUUUCGGUAUGUAAAGCUCUAUCAGCAGGGAAGAAAAUGACGGUACCUGACUAAGAAGCCCCGGCUAACUGCGUGCCAGCAGCCGCGGUAAUACGUAGGGGGCAAGCGUUAUCCGGAUUUACUGGGUGUAAAGGGAGCGUAGACGGCAGUGCAAGUCCGGAGUGAAAGCCCGGGGCUCAACCCUGGGACUGCUCUGGAAACUGUAAAGCUGGAGUGCGGGAGGGGC
rnacentral:rRNA from 1 species